GUGGCUCAGUGGUAGAGUGCUUGCCUUGCAUGCAUGAGGCCCUGGGUUCGAUUCCUGAACACCACA
rfam:Dipodomys ordii contig_32714, whole genome shotgun sequence.